rnacentral:rRNA from 1 species
AGUGAACGCUGGCGGUAGGCCUAACACAUGCAAGUCGAACGGCAGCACAGUAAGAGCUUGCUCUUACGGGUGGCGAGUGGCGGACGGGUGAGGAAUACAUCGGAAUCUACUUUUUCGUGGGGGAUAACGUAGGGAAACUUACGCUAAUACCGCAUACGACCUACGGGUGAAAGCAGGGGAUCUUCGGACCUUGCGCGAUUGAAUGAGCCGAUGUCGGAUUAGCUAGUUGGCGGGGUAAAGGCCCACCAAGGCGACGAUCCGUAGCUGGUCUGAGAGGAUGAUCAGCCACACUGGAACUGAGACACGGUCCAGACUCCUACGGGAGGCAGCAGGGGGGAAUAUUGGACAAUGGGCGCAAGCCUGAUCCAGCCAUACCGCGGGGGUGAAGAAGGCCUUCGGGUUGUAAAGCCCUUUUGUUGGGAAAGAAAAGCAGCAGGUUAAGACCCCGCUGUUCUGACGGUACCCAAAGAAUAAGCACCGGCUAACUUCGU